GUUAGUAAUCAUGUUCCAGUUAGGCAACAAAAAACUAGCUAUUAUACCAGCAUUGUGUUGUUUAACCUUAGUCUCUACAAGUCCUACUAGGUCAAACUUAUUAGUUCUAAAGAAAUUUCUAGCUUCUUUUUGUUUGAACCUUUUAUUUACACCCCUAAUAUUACAAAAGAUCCACUUCAUUGAGUAUGGCUAGUUCCCCCUUCAUCCAGGGGAUGAUCAGCCCACCUAACUGUCCCAACUUCAAAUCUGUUAGACAACACUAUAGGA
rnacentral:lncRNA from 1 species